AAAUGUUCCACCAAUCCAAAGUGUCUUUCUCCAAGCCAGGCUUGUUGGCACAAGCAGUGAGCCCACCACACAAAAAACCACAUCAACAGAACAAGGUAUGAUAAUUACCCAACAAAACCAGCUCUGCUCUAUUGAGAAACAUCACUGGCACAGAAUGAUACUGAUUUAGAAUCCUUUUGUAGCUGUAUUUUGUGGGGCAUUUGUGGGGUGGGGUGGUGGAUGUAGGAUGUGCUUGGGGAAAAGAGCUUUGUGCUAGGGUAAAAGUUGUGGUAUGAGUAUUGAGAGAGGGUAAUUAAUGGAAAUGUUUGGUAAGGGAAGUGGGGGUGUUGUGUGUGUUGCAAGUGUUGGAGAGGGGAGAAGUAUGUAGUGUGAUUUUGGGGAUGGAAGGGGUUGUGAUGGAGGAGGGUAUGUGGUUACUCCCCAUGAGUUGUGGGGACGUUUGUAGGAGUGAGGACAUAUCCAGCUCCUAAAACAACCCAGUCUAUCACUGUGCCAGGGGACAGCUCUAGGGCAUUGGUUGUAAGGUGCUGCGCAGGCUCCAGGCGCACAGCCUUGUCUCCCUGCUCGUGAGCUAAUAAACAAUGCUCCACAGCAAGCGUGAUAUCCAGGAGACUUACUGGGAUUAGAUCUAGGACAAUUAGGCUGGGUGCAUGGAUCCCCAACCUCAGGGUACUCCAGUUCUUACCCACUGCCCCUAUAACCAUUACCCACACAGGCCACCCUGCACCUCAAGUGUCCCCAGGGUCUUUUAUCCUCAUCUAUUGCUCUGUUGUACCCCCAUCUUUCCCAGAUCCCUGCUUCCUCACUAGUUGACCACUACUGCCUCAAAGGAUGCAAUAGUAUACCACUUUCUAUUCACCCAGGUAUAUGCAAUUACUAGCUGGGCAUUUGUUUUUCCACAAUCAUUAAUUCGAGCAGGCUACGUAAAAAGCUACCCUCUUACUGGAAAAAGUGUAUGAAGUUAUAUAUGCUUCACAUGCCUGCCUAUACCCAUGGUCAGAGGACAAGUUUCGGUUACAAAAACAGCUUUCUAUUUCUGUUCUGUCUAGCUAACUAGCAAUUCAUGCGGUCAAUUGCAAAAGCUGUCUGAAUUGAGAGGUCAUUUCUCACACUGGUGGUAAAAGGAUUUAACUGGGACUACAUGAACAUGAAAUCAAUACUAAGUAAAAUGUUUUAUCAACAGUUAUAUACAGCAAAUGGUUUUGGAACCAUCUCAUUUUUCAUGGUGAAUGAAUAAUUAAAGUAGCUCAUAGUAAGCACAUCUAAGAAGUCUGACUUUUAAAAGGUGAGAGAGUGAAUUAAUGUUCUUGUAAUAAAUGCUGGAUCCCAUUCUUUGCCUCAGAGAAGUAAGGAAAUUUUGCAGAAUGGUUUGUGCUUGUAUGAAUGAUGGAACUGAUCAUCUUAUUUAUUCUGAGCAUAUAGCACCUUUCAUUGCAAAGUAUUCCAGAUGCUUCAGAAACUAAAUAAAGGAAUUCCAGAGCAUAAAGAAGUAUCAUGGCAUUAGUCCAAAGUGCUGUCUUUUACAAUAGGAUCAUAACAGUGAUCUGUUUUAUUUAGGAACAUUAGAAAUGUAGCCAUUUAAGCUCUGCCAGUGAAUGAAGGGGACAGAGGAGUGAAUGUAACCAAGGAUUUAGUAAGAGCAUUAUCAGAUCUGCCAACACAUAGAAAAUAGCUUAGUAUCUCUGCUCUUCCAUUAAAGAUGCAGUUUUUUAGAUUUUCUCUUACUCUAAAAAAAGGCUGCAUAGAAUUCAUCUGCCAUUACACAAAGGUCUAGUCUGAUCCCGGCUUCUUUCCCAGACCUGAAAAGACACCUUGUGGCUGAAAACUUGAGAUCUCUCACAAAUGUAAUAAGUACUUCAUAUUUGAUGCUUAGACCACUAAUCACUGUGGGUAAAACUCAGACCAACAUCAUAUAUCAACUCGUAGCCUGCACCGUAACAUUGGUGAAGAACAGUUUCCUCUCACUGCUGGUAGAUUCUGUUAGUAUCAAUGAGGAAGUUGUUUCCUCACCUGAAAGUAGAUGCAGCCUUUGGCAAAUUGGCCAAGUGGGUUUGGAGAAAUCAAGGUCUCUAUGAAGGUAAAGGUUUAGGAGGGCUGCUGCUCUUGUUUUGCUUUAGGGGUGUGAAAUCCAAGAUAUCAUACUGGGGACAUUUGAAGAAUGUCCCCUUCUGGCAUUUGAAGAAAAAUCAACCAAUGUUUCUUGUGUUCCCUCCUGAGGGAUGAAGAGCUUGACCAAAUAUCUAAUGUCAGGAUGCUGCAACAAGAUGAUAGUUACUGAAUAGAAGCAUUGAUGAAGUAGAUGUAGUUCUGUUGCGCUAGCCAUGUCCCAUGCACGAGUGAUGAACACAUGCCUAAGCAACUGCUUUAUGGAGGAGUGCAAUACAUUCAUCAACAGCAAGGGGGACAGAAAAGCAUUUCAGACCUGCUGAAGUUCCAUCUUGUUCAGAGCAGGAUGCUGACUCCUGGGAGCCAUUGGUUGGACAUGGACAGCAAGGACAUGAGAAGAUCAGCGGGUGUUGACUACUCUGAGCAGCAACAUAAUAUUGUUCCUGAAGAAAAGCAUGCUAGAGUUAAGGAGCAAAAAGCAGCAGAAAUUGCAGACCGUACAUCUGCCACAGGUAUGUGGGUAGCAUUGUAAGGAAGGUGGUUGAAGCUGUUACAUAUUGGCUUGUUGAUUUAUGUGUUCAUUUAUUGCAGCACUAGGAAUCCAGUUGAUAUUUCCUCAGACUGAGAUAACUAGAUAUAUUGAUUGGGCUUUGAUGGUUUGGCCUGGCCAUCCCUGAAUCCAGGGGAUAAAUGGAAAUUAUGACAGCAGCUACAUAUGAAGAUGGAGAAACCGAGGAAAAGAAGAAUAAAGUAAUUGGUGGGUCAUCCAGCAGGCCAGUGACAAGCCAGAAAUAAGGCCCAGAACUUGAAAGUCCUAGACCACUGCUCCAGCAAGGACACACUGCAUGCUCCUCUCAUGUUCUCUUGGAAAAGUCAACAUGAUGAAGAAACCUUCAUAGAUGUCAUAUUUGUAGUCUGUCUUGUGUUUCUGUCGUCUACCAGUGAUAUGACCAACAUACCUAGCUACAUAUUUAAACUUCGAAAACAAAACAAAAAUUGAGAGAAAUGGGCAUUCAGGAAAUAUUUU